CAGAUAAGGAGCUUGCUCCUUUGACGUUAGCGGCGGACGGGUGAGUAACACGUGGGUAACCUACCUAUAAGACUGGGACAACUUCGGGAAACCGGAGCUAAUACCGGAUAAUAUGUUGAACCGCAUGGUUCAAUAGUGAAAGAUGGUUUUGCUAUCACUUAUAGAUGGACCCGCGCCGUAUUAGCUAGUUGGUGAGGUAACGGCUCACCAAGGCAACGAUACGUAGCCGACCUGAGAGGGUGAUCGGCCACACUGGAACUGAGACACGGUCCAGACUCCUACGGGAGGCAGCAGUAGGGAAUCUUCCGCAAUGGGCGAAAGCCUGACGGGGCAACGCCGCGUGAGUGAUGAAGGUCUUAGGAUCGUAAAACUCUGUUAUUAGGGAAGAACAAACGUGUAAGUAACUGUGCACGUCUUGACGGUACCUAAUCAGAAAGCCACGGCUAACUACGUGCCAGCAGCCGCGGUAAUACGUAGGUGGCAAGCGUUAUCCGGAAUUAUUGGGCGUAAAGCGCGCGUAGGCGGUUUUUUAAGUCUGAUGAGAAAGCCCACGGCUCAACCGUGGAGGGUCAUUGGAAACUGGAAAACUUGAGUGCAGAAGAGGAAAGUGGAAUUCCAUGUGUAGCGGUGAAAUGCGCAGAGAUAUGGAGGAACACCAGUGGCGAAGGCGACUUUCUGGUCUGUAACUGACGCUGAUGUGCGAAAGCGUGGGGAUCAAACAGGAUUAGAUACCCUGGUAGUCCACGCCGUAAACGAUGAGUGCUAAGUGUUAGGGGGUUCCGCCCCUUAGUGCUGCAGCUAACGCAUUAAGCACUCCGCCUGGGGAGUACGACCGC
rnacentral:rRNA from 1 species